CCUACGGGUGGCAGCAGUGGGGAAUAUUGGGCAAUGGGCGCAAGCCUGACCCAGCAACGCCGCGUGAAGGAAGAAGGUCUUCGGGUUGUAAACUUCUUUUGUCAGGGACGAAGAAACUGACGGUACCUGACGUAUAAGCCACGGCUAAAUACGUGCCAGCAGCCGCGGUAAUACGUAGGUGGCAAGCGUUAUCCGGAUUUACUGGGUGUAAAGGUCGUGUAGGCGGGAGAGCAAGUCAGACGUGAAAUUCCAGGGCUCAACCCUGGAACUGCGUUUGAAACUGUUCUUCUUGAGUGAUGGAGAGGCAGGCGGAAUGCCGUGUGUAGCGGUGAAAUGCGUAGAUAUACGGAGGAACACCAGUGGCGAAGGCGGCCUGCUGGACAUUAACUGACGCUGAGGCGCGAAAGCGUGGGGAGCAAACAGGAGUAGAUACCCGAGUAGUC
rnacentral:rRNA from 1 species